ACUCAUUAGCCAAUCAGGUUCGGAGGCCACUUCACAAGCCCACUUCCUGUCUCUCCCUCUCCGUUUUGGUGGGCUGGUUGAAGAUGAAAUCUACUGAAGAGGUCUUUAGUACCUUGUGUGCCAUCCCAGAAGUGGCCCCUGAAAGCCUUCGUAAUAUGUAUAUAUUCCCUAAAAAUCAAGCGAGCUUGGAUUUGGACAUUCCUAAUAGAAAAGGUUAAAGGCUGAUUGAGGCAGGCUUGAUGCUACGUAAUUGAUAGAUCCUAAAAGUCAACUUUAUUCCUAGAUAGAAGCUGGAUUCAUCUAAUAGCAGAGGUAAGUAUAAGAGAAAAAUAUGAAUUUUUAUCU